UACGAAGGGGGCUAGCGUUGCUCGGAAUCACUGGGCGUAAAGCGCACGUAGGCGGAUUGUUAAGUCAGGGGUGAAAUCCUGGAGCUCAACUCCAGAACUGCCUUUGAUACUGGCGAUCUCGAGUCCGGGAGAGGUGAGUGGAACUGCGAGUGUAGAGGUGAAAUUCGUAGACAUUCGCAAGAACACCAGUGGCGAAGGCGGCUCACUGGCCCGGUACUGACGCUGAGGUGCGAAAGCGUGGGGAGCAAACAGG
rnacentral:rRNA from 1 species